AUUGAACGCUGGCGGCAUGCCUUACACAUGCAAGUCGAACGGCAGCACGGGUGCUUGCCCCUGGUGGCGAGUGGCGAACGGGUGAGUAAUACAUCGGAACAUGUCCUGUAGUGGGGGAUAGCCCGGCGAAAGCCGGAUUAAUACCGCAUACGAUCUACGGAUGAAAGCGGGGGACCUUCGGGCCUCGCGCUAUAGGGUUGGCCGAUGGCUGAUUAGCUAGUUGGUGGGGUAAAGGCCUACCAAGGCGACGAUCAGUAGCUGGUCUGAGAGGACGACCAGCCACACGGGGACUGAGACACGGCCCAGACUCCUACGGGAGGUAGCAGUGGGGAAUUUUGGACAAUGGGCGAAAGCCUGAUCCAGCAAUGCCGCGUGUGUGAAGAAGGCCUUCGGGUUGUAAAGCACUUUUGUCCGGAAAGAAAUCCUUGGCCCUAAUACGGUCGGGGGAUGACGGUACCGGAAGAAUAAGCACCGGCUAACUACGUG
rnacentral:rRNA from 1 species